CCAUCGUCUGCUAUGGCAGCCAGGCAUAAACACGGGCCCCUGUGCCAUACAUAGGGGUUUAUCGUGUAUGUUGAAAUCUACAUCCACUUGGAAUAAACAGAACUUACAACCCUGCA
rnacentral:lncRNA from 1 species